rnacentral:misc_RNA from 1 species
UUUAAAAUUUACCAAAUUUUACCACAAGAACCCCAACAUCCUAAAUCUUCUCUACCAAAUUUUACAAUUUUCUAAGCAUCAUAACUAUUUAUUUUCUUCAAAUUUCAAUAGCCAAAAUUCAGAAUUUCAAAUGCAAAUAGCCUAUAUUUAACAAUUUAUUUAUCAAAAUCCAACUAUUGAAAAUUUAUUAAAUUUUAACUAUAACUUUUAUACAUAUAAAUCUCAAACAUAUCCAAAAAUCAACAAUGAAAGAUGUACCAAACUCACCUGGAUAGAAGACAAAGUUGCUGCCCCUGCUCCUAUUCAUCAUCUUCCUCCCUUUCUCUCUCUAAUUU